AGAAGGAAAUCAGUUUAAAUCUGAUGCUAUACCCGUAACUGUAAUGUGGACGAUAUAAAUAACCACGACAUUUUUGUUGGAAGGAUUUAUAGAGAGUGAAGCAAAGCCAGGAUACUU
rnacentral:ncRNA from 2 species